rnacentral:sRNA from 1 species
GCUGGGCGUGGUGGCGGGCGCCUGUAAUCCCAGCUACUCAGGAGGCUGAGGCAGGAGAAUUGCUUGAACCCAGGAGGCGGAGGUUGCAGUGAGCCAAGAUCGCGCCACUGCACUCCAGCCUGGGCGACAGAGCGAGACUCUGUCUCAA